rnacentral:tRNA from 1 species
GUGUCGGUGGUUCAGUGGUAGAAUGCUCACUUGUCACGCGACUGGCAGAGGUUCGAUUCCUAGCCGAUGCA